CUGAGGGGUUUGAUGAGCCGGUCUCAGGGCUUCGAUGAGCCGGUCUCAGGGGUUCGAGCCGGUCUCAGGGGUUUGAUGAGCCGGUCUCAGGGCUUCGAUGAGCCGGUC